CCUACGGGAGGCAGCAGUGGGGGAUAUUGCACAAUGGGGGAAACCCUGAUCCAGCGACGCCGCGUGAGUGAAGAAGUAUUUCGGUAUGUAAAGCUCUGUCAGCAGGGAAGAAAAUGACGGUACCUGACUAAGAAGCCCCGGCUAACUACGUGCCAGCAGCCGCGGUCAUACGUAGGGGGCAAGCGUUAUCCGGAUUUACUGGGUGUAAAGGGAGCGCAGACGGUGCAGCAAGUCUGAUGGGAAAGGUCGGGGCCCAACCCCGGGACUGCUUUGGAAACUGGUGAACUGGAGUACAGGAGGGGUAAGCGGAAUUCCUGGUGUAGCGGUGAAAUGCGUAGAUAUCAGGAGGAACACCAGUGGCGAAGGCGGCUUGCUGGACUGUAACUGACGUUGAGGCCCGAAAGCGUGGGGAACAAACAGGAUUAGAUACCCCAGUAGUC
rnacentral:rRNA from 1 species